UAAUAACCUAUAAUUUAUUUUAUAGACAUAUAAUAGUAAGCUUUAAACCAGCUAUCUUUAAGAUUACGUUUUAGUUCAUUAUUUUUUAUUUUGAUUUUAUAAAUAUUUUAGGUUUUUUAUUAAGAUUAUUAAUUUAAUUUUAAAAUUUUUGUAAUAAUGAUACAAUUAGUAUAUUUAUUUGUAUGAAAUUUUUACCUUGUGAACUUAUUAUAAGGAACUAGGCAAAAUUGAUUUCCGCCUGUUUAUCAAAAACAUGUCCUCUUGUUUAUACUUUGAGGUCUGGCCUGCUCACUGAGCGUAUUUUUAAAGAGCCGCGGUAUUUUGACCGUGCAAAGGUAGCAUAAUCAUUAGUCUCUUAAUUAGUGGCUGGAAUGAAUGGCUUGACGAGAAAUCAACUGUCUCUUAAUAAAUUUUUGAAUUUAACUUUUGAGUCAAAAGGCUUAAAUUCUUCUUUAGGACGAGAAGACCCUAUAGAGCUUGACAUUU